rnacentral:lncRNA from 1 species
CGUAGCCCAAAGCUUCUUCCUCUGCCAUGCUGUUCAGCCACCAGCACAAGGGAAGCAACACGGCAGGAUAAGACCUGUUUGCAAGCAUUGCCCAAGGAAUGGACAGCGAAGGAGAGAAGCAAAAGGAAGCCCGACUGUGGAAUGGAAAAGAGUAAGAAAAAAUCACUGAGAAGGGAGUGGAUGGAUGAGUGUUUCAGAGAUGGGAGAUUCUUCCAGAAGAAGUGGAGUGGAGAACCCCCUCCACUACAGCUUCCAAUUACAAUUAAUAUGAAAGAACCCACCAGCGUGAGCCAAAAGAAAAUACUGUGGAUAUUCACUCCUCCAGAGAAGCUGAGGCUCAUCUGCAAGGGUCACAGUUGUCCCUUCAUCCUUCAGCCUGACAGGAAGGAGAUGACCUGCCUACUGCUGGCUGCAGCAGUACUCCUGAGCAGCAGGACUGCUCGAUGGGGCUGCCCACCUCCGUGUUUCAGGUUUUAACAUGCUGCAGUGAUGCUAUUCACAAACCAUCCCCGUACUACGAGAUGCACAUCCACACUGUGCUCUCCAGGUGGACUGCUACUUAGUAACCAAGCAACCAUCUCCUUCAUCUCUAACUCAUACAUGCUGAUCUCACCAGAGGAUUUCUUUUGGCAAAUUUUACCUUGAGUCAUUUGAAGAGCUGCAUUAUGUCUGAAUUAUUCUCGCUAUAAAAUUGUGAAUGGAUUAUUUCAAUGAAUAAUCAUAGGUCUGCAAAAAAUCUGAUUUGUUACUUUUGUAACCUGCUUAGAAA